rnacentral:rRNA from 1 species
CCUACGGGAGGCAGCAGUAGGGAAUCUUCCGCAAUGGACGAAAGUCUGACGGAGCAACGCCGCGUGAGUGAUGAAGAUUUUCGGAUCGUAAAACUCUGUUGUUAGGGAAGAACAAGUACCAGAGUAACUGCUGGUACCUUGACGGUACCUAACCAGAAAGCCACGGCUAACUACGUGCCAGCAGCCGCGGUAAUACGUAGGUGGCAAGCGUUGUCCGGAAUUAUUGGGCGUAAGGCGCGCGCAGGCGGUCCUUUAAGUCUGAUGUGAAAGCCCACGGCUCAACCGUGGAGGGUCAUUGGAAACUGGGGGACCUGAGUACAGAAGAGAAGAGUGGAAUUCCACGUGUAGCGGUGAAAUGCGUAGAGAUGUGGAGGAACACCAGUGGCGAAGGCGACUCUUUGGUCUGUAACUGACGCUGAGGCGCGAAAGCGUGGGGAGCAAACAGGAUUAGAUACCCUGGUAGUCCACGCUGUAAACGAUGAGUGCUAAGUGUUAGAGGGUUUCCGCCCUUUAGUGCUGCAGCUAACGCAUUAAGCACUCCGCCUGGGGAGUACGGCCGCAAGGCUGAAACUCAAAGGAAUUGACGG